rnacentral:rRNA from 1 species
GCGAGCAGCCAUAUCACCCUGCAGCUCACAACUGGCAGCCCACUGGAGCUCAGCAGGUGUGAGCUUGGUCAGUACCUGGAUGGGAGACCUCCUGGGAAAAAAGGUUGCUGCUGGAA